rnacentral:rRNA from 1 species
AAUUGGAGGGCAAGUCUGGUGCCAGCAGCCGCGGUAAUUCCAGCUCCAAUAGCGUAUAUUAAAGUUGUUGCAGUUAAAAAGCUCGUAGUUGAAUUUCGGGAUCAAUAUUUCGGUCAUGCCGUUGGUAUGCACUGUUAUCAUUGAUUUCUCACCUUCUAAAGAACCGUAAUGCCAUUAAUUUGGUGUUACGGGGAAUUAGGACUGUUACCUUGAAAAAAUUAGAGUGUUUAAAGCAGGCUCACGCUUGAAUACAUUAGCAUGGAAUGAUGAAAUAGGACAUCCGAUUCUAUUUUGUUGGUUUCUAGGAUCGAUGUAAUGAUUAAUAGGGAUAGUUGGGGGCAUUAGUAUUCAAUUGUCAGAGGUGAAAUUCUUGGAUUUAUUGAAGACUAACUACUGCGAAAGCAUUUGCCAAGGAUGUUUUCAUUAAUCAAGAACGAAAGUUAGGGGAUCGAAGACGAUCAGAUACCGUCGUAGUCUUAACCAUAAACUAUGCCGACUAGGGAUCGGAUGAUGUUAAUUUUUUAAUGACUCAUUCGGCGCCUUACGGGAAACCAAAGUGU